rnacentral:rRNA from 1 species
AAUCAACGCUGGCGGCGUGCCUCAGACAUGCAAGUCGAACGCGAAAGUCCCCUUCGGGGGAUAAGUAGAGUGGCGCACGGGUGAGUAACACGUAGGUAAUCUACCUUCGGAUGGGGAAUAACAACCGGAAACGGUUGCUAAUACCGCAUAAUGCAGCGGCACCUAAUGGUGACAGUUGUUAAAGCGGGGGAUCGAAAGACCUCGCGUCUAAAGAGGAGCCUGCGGCGGAUUAGCUAGNGGUAGGGUAACGGCCUACCAAGGCGACGAUCCGUAGCCGGCCUGAGAGGGCGGUCGGCCACACUGACACUGACAUACGGGUCAGACUCCUACGGGAGGCAGCAGUCGGGAAUUUUGGGCAAUGGGCGAAAGCCUGACCCAGCAACGCCGCGU